rnacentral:rRNA from 1 species
GUUGUAGAUGAACGGACGAAACUUCUAGUUCAGGCAGCAUCGCUUAUAGCUGUGGUUCAGGCCUGGAUCCUGUUGGUCCAUAAGAGAGUUGUUCAUCGGAAUGGGAAACCUCUCAUUCGGUAUGGUCCAAUGUUAACCAGGGAUCGGAGGAUAGCAAAUCUGAAUUACAUCUACAACUGCAACGAUACAGAGGCUCUGUGGAUGCUUCGAAUGAGAAGAGCACCUUUCGCCAGGCUUGUGCACAAGUUCAGGGGCAGGGGGCUGCUAGAAGAUAAUAUCCACACCACUGUGGAAGAGCAAGCGGCCAUAUUCCUCCAUGUUGUUGGUCAUAACCAGAGGUUCAGGGUUACACACAACGCCUUCAGGAGAACAAUGGAGACCAUCUCCAUGUACUUCAAGCAAGUUCUGUAUGCUGUCGGGGGGCUCAGAGGAGAGAUGAUCAGGUCACCAACUGGUCGGACUCCUACCAAGAUUCGCACUAGCCCAAGAUGGUAUCCAUACUUCAAGGUGAGCACUAACAGUAUGUAG